GUCUACGGCCAUACCACCCUGAACGCGCCCGAUCUCGUCUGAUCUCAGAAGCUAAGCAGGGUCGGGCCUGGUUAGUACUUGAAUGGGAGACCAGAGAGUAAGGGAGAGGGAUAGAGA
rnacentral:rRNA from 1 species